UACGUAGGAGGCGAGCGUUGUCCGGAGUACUGGGCGUAAAGCGUGCGCAGGCGGUUCGUUGUGUCGGCGGUGAAAGCCCCGGGCUUAACCUGGGAAUGGCCGUUGAAACUGGCGAACUGGAGUGUGGCAGAGGGGGGUGGAAUUCCGCGUGUAGCAGUGAAAUGCGUAGAGAUGCGGAGGAACACCGAUGGCGAAGGCAGCCCCCUGGGCUAACACUGACGCUCAGGCACGAAAGCGUGGGGAGCAAACAGG
rnacentral:rRNA from 1 species